UCUUUAUUUAGUUGAGUAGUUGUUGCUUCUCAUAAUCUGGAUUAGAACAUUACUCAAAUAGAGCUAUUCACUGUAUACCUGUAACUCUACCUCUUCACUACUUUACUUUAACUGAUGCUCUCAAACACUUUAUUAAGAGGCAAGAAAUUCAAGGUAUUAACUCUUGACGAGUUCAGCACAGCUGUUAACUGAAAUAAUUCAAAAUAUAGAAAAUAUUCUGUUUUAACACUUCUUGUUUCCGAAAUAAUUCCAUAUUUGUUUUUCUUUAUAGUUUGGAUGACUUUAGUAUUAAUCUACAAUGCAGAAAAAAAUUUAAUAAUGAAAAAACACUGAAUUUAAGGUUCGCCCACACUUUUGACUGGUACUGUACUUCAGCUGUAGUUUCUAAAAAAAAAAAAAAUCGAACUGUAAAAAUGUACAGAAAUGAUUCAGAAUAGCUUCAUGUGAAAUGCACUGUUCUCUUGUUCUAAAUUGUUCACAUGGGUUGGUAAUAGGAAAAGGUACCUUCAAACAAUUCCACAGACAACUGUUACACAUAAUAUUCAGAUACAGUGUCAAGAAAAAGAAGUAUGUGAACCCCUUUUUAAUUUCAUGUGUUUUUUUGCAUAAAUUUGACCUAAAAUGUGAUCCAUGCUGUACUUCACAAUCUUUAUUAAUAAAAUGCUGUUAUACAGCUCUGAAAAAUGAGAGAGCCCUUAAAAAUGAUGUUUUUCCUUGAUUUUACCAAAUUAAAAACUCUAGAAUAUAAUCAAGAGGAAGAUGCCAAACUUAACUGAACUGCUUAAAUUUUUGUACCAGGAGUAAAGCAGCAUAAAGUUAUCUAAAAGCAGUGUGUAAGACUGGUGGCGGAGAAAAUGAUACCAAGAUGCAUGAAAACUGUGAUUAAAAAACAGGGUUUUUCCACUAAAUAUUGAUUUCUGAACUCUUAAAACUUUAUGAAUAUGAACUUGUUUUAAAAUUCUUUGAGUUAUUUGAGGUCUGAAAGCUUUGCAUCUUUUUUUGUUAUUCCAGCCAUUUCUCAUUUUCUGCAAAUAAUUGCUCUAAAAUUUCUAAA